rnacentral:tRNA from 1 species
GAGGGUACAGCUCAGUGGUAGAGCACAUGCUUAGCAUGCACGAGGUCCUGGGUUCAAUCCCCGGUACCUCCA